CCUACGGGUGACAGCAGUCGAGAAUCAUUCACAAUGGGGGCAACCCUGAUGGUGCGACGCCGCGUGGGGGAAUGAAGGUCUUCGGAUUGUAAACCCCUGUCAUGUGGGAGCAAAUUAAAAAGAUAGUACCACAAGAGGAAGAGACGGCUAACUCUGUGCCAGCAGCCGCGGGAAUACAGAGGUCUCAAGCGUUGUUCGGCAUCACUGGGCGUAAAGCGUGCGUAGGCUGUUUCGUAAGUCGUGUGUGAAAGGCGCGGGCUCAACCCGCGGACGGCACAUGAUACUGCGAGACUAGAGUAAUGGAGGGGGAACCGGAAUUCUCGGUGUAGCAGUGAAAUGCGUAGAUAUCGAGAGGAACACUCGUGGCGAAGGCGGGUUCCUGGACAUUAACUGACGCUGAGGCACGAAGGUCAGGGGAGCGAAAGGGAUUAGAUACCCCGGUAGUC
rnacentral:rRNA from 1 species